AGUGAACGCUGGCGGUAGGCCUAACACAUGCAAGUCGAACGGCAGCACAGUAAGAGCUUGCUCUUACGGGUGGCGAGUGGCGGACGGGUGAGGAAUACAUCGGAAUCUACUUUUUCGUGGGGGAUAACGUAGGGAAACUUACGCUAAUACCGCAUACGACCUACGGGUGGAAGCAGGGGAUCUUCGGACCUUGCGCGAUUGAAUGAGCCGAUGUCGGAGUAGCUAGUUGGCGGGGUAAAGGCCCACUAAGGCGACGAUCCGUAGCUGGUCUGAGAGGAUGAUCAGCCACACUGGAACGGGGACACGGUCAAGACUCCUACGGGACGCAGCAGUGGGGAAUAUUGGACAAUGGGCGCAAGCAUGAUACAGCCAUACCGCGUGGGUGAAGAAGGCCUUCGGGUUGUAAAGCCCUUUUGUUGGGAAAGAAAAGCAGCAGGUUAAUACCCCGCUGUUCUGACGGUACCCAAAGAAUAAGCACCGGCUAACUUCGUG
rnacentral:rRNA from 1 species